GGAAAACAAAGCAAGGAUGAAAGGUUUAUUAUUCCAUUCUACAUUUUAAAGACAUCGUUCAUCAGUACAUGAAAAUGCUUCAUGCGCCUGGCACCGGGAGAGGAAGCCAUCGCCCUGCGGCAGAAAUCGCAUGGCUGUCUGCAGGCGCGGGAGAGAUAUUAACUCUUUUACUGCACAGAUGAAACUUGCAGACACCAAUCCUCUCUUGAGUGAGAGAAAAGGCAAGCAUUAAGGCACAUAGAGAAACAACAUGAAGACACUUAAGUCAGUAAAGAAGGAGUCAAAUCCCAGAUGGGAGGCAUAUGAAGAGAUGUCUUCUUCUUGGGCUGAAAUUCUUUUGUAAAGCCAUCAUGAUGGACUAUGAUAUACUAGAAUAUCCUUGUAAUUCAUGAAAACCGUGGCAGGAUGGAGCAUUCAAACAGUUAAUGGGAGCAAAGGCACCCAUGCUGAAGCAAGCAGAUGUUGAAGUAGCUGUGAUCCAAAUGAGAAGCUUGAACAGAGAGAGAAAAGUGAUGAAGACCUUUUGCUCCCAGGGAAGAAGAAAGAAAGUAACAUCUGUUCCAGAGAUGAUUUUAGUGAUAGAUGAAGAGAACCUUUGCUUUUGAACAGCUGUGGGAAGGCUGAAAGGAUGGGAGGAACUUUCACACUGCAGAUGGAUUUUCCAUUCCUAGGCAACUGAUUCACUGGGACAUUAAUGCCACAAGAGAACUGUUUCUUGGGAGAAGUCUCCAUGGCAUGGCAAGAGAGACUCCAUUCCAUAAGUGAACUGACGAAAGAUUAUUUUAGAGGUAGUAACCUGACUGAAAGUCCAAGUUUUUAUGUUUUAUGGGAAAGAAAAGGGGGUGUAGGGGGAGGAGAAGCGUUCUGAAGGUUUGUUCUGAUUUCUUACUAUUUUUUGUUUUAAUUCUGUUAAUAAAGUUUUCUUUAUACCCUUUAAAGUUUGAGCCCGCUAUGCUUGCUCUCCUAUUAAGUCUUAUCUCACAGCAGAAAAUGAGUAAAUAAUUCUAGAGGGUGCAUUGGCAUUUGACCAGCAUUAGACCCACCAUUUAAUUGGUGCAUUGGCCGUGAAACUCAGAUUGGACAACCAAAAACACUACAUUCACUUUCUAAUCUAACCAAUGAGAAUUAUUCUAUAGAGUAGCUAGUGCAUGGAUCCAGGGCAUUCAAAAAAAAAACCUUUUUUUUUUUUUUUUUUUUUUUUUUUUUUUUUUUUUUUUGGUUGAAAUAACUUUUCUUGUUUAUGAAGCAAUUCAAGGUCAGAAUGAAGGAGUAUGCAGCUUCUCAUGACUUCAGAACUAUUUUUUUCUCAGUGAUUAAACUUUUUUGGAGAUUUUUUUUCCUUUUUUGCAUGAACGGAUGAAAAAUGCAUGGACAAAUCAACCAUGGAUUGGGGAGGGGAGAGGAGAUUCGAGGAGAGGAGAUUCAAGGAGAGGAGAUCCAAGGAUAGGAUAGGAUAGGAUAGGAUAGGAUAGGAUAGGAUAGGAUAGGAUAGGGUAGGGUAGGGUAGGGUAGGGUAGGGUAGGGUAGGGUAGGGUAGGAUACCAGACCAGACCAGACAAGAUCCUGUUGACCAUGCUUUAAUGAAUAUGCAUCUUUCAUUCAUUUUAGAAAAUUAGUCAUUCAUCCUAAAUAUAUAAGAAUAUAAAAAUGUAAAUACAAAAGUUUUUAAAAUUCAACAUCUUCCUGCAAAUGAUUGAUUAAUUCUUUGAGUUUCUUUAGGCUAUGCAUCAUAUUGCAGAUCUGCUUCCAUACCUCUGGGUGAACAUGACUUUAGUUUGCUCUGAUGGCUGAAGUACAUACUAUCUUGAAUUCCAUGGUGCUUUUCACCCUUGUGAUUGUAUCAUGAGACUUGUGAUACUUGAUAUUUAAUUUAAAGAUUCAUCUCCUGGAGAUGUAAGAAUAUAUCCCAGCUUUCACAAAGGUUAAAAAGAAGGGUUGAGAAGGAAAGAGGAAAGGAUAAAAUGUCACAAUUAGAACAUCUGAGUUAAAAAUGCUGAGAGGGAAAGGAAUUUUGCUGCCUACAAAUGGAACUAAAUAUGGCUAUUUUUUCAAACGAUUUUCUACAAAAGGAUUCACAGAGGGAUCCUGCCUGUUAGAGCUCUUAAAGUGUCAUGUAAUCAAGAUGACUGCAAAGCUGCAGAGGCAGGUACCCAGACAAGCUGAAUGAAAUGCAAAACAGCUCAGUGCAGAACAGUCAGGGAGAGAUUGCCUGUAGUGGAAUAAUCUGCCUGAGACUCGGAGCAAAGUGAACUAUUCCAGAGGGCAGUUAUGUCACUUCCAAAGUGAAUGAAUUAGAACAGAAUUGGGCACUAAGCAAGUAGAGAAAUAAGUUUUAUGGAUGGAUGUGAAGCAUUUCAUUAUGAAAAAACCAGUUCAUAUGGAGGCAGUGGCAGUUUAUAGCCCUGUGUUGCUGUCAUUAUAUGCUACCCACUUUCUGGCAAACUGCAGUCUUACUAAGUUGCUUCUUUUUUUUUUCUUUUUUUUUUUUUUUCUUUUUUUCUUUUUUUUUUUCUUUUUUU